AGCAGCCGCGGUAAUUCCAGCUCCAAUAGCGUAUAUUAAAGUUGUUGCAGUUAAAAAGCUCGUAGUUGAAUUUCGGGAUCAAUAUGUCGGUCGUGCUUCGGUACGUACUGGUAUCAUUGGUUUCUCCUUUCUGACGAACCAUGAUGUCAUUAAUUUGGUGUUAUGGGGAGUUAGGACUGUUACUUUGAAAAAAUUAGAGUGUUUAAAGCAGGCUUUAGCUUGAAUACAUUAGCAUGGAAUAAUGAAAUAGGACGUUCGAACCUAUUUUGUUGGUUUCUAGGAUCAACGUAAUGAUUAAUAGGGAUAGUUGGGGCAUUAGUAUUCAAUUGUCAGAGGUGAAAUUCUUGGAUUUAUUGAAGACUAACUACUGCGAAAGCAUUUGCCAAGGAUGUUUUCAUUAAUCAAGAACGAAAGUUAGGGGAUCGAAGACGAUCAGAUACCGUCGUAGUCUUAACCAUAAACUAUGCCGACUAGGGAUCGGAUGAUGUUAAUUUUUUAAUGACUCA
rnacentral:rRNA from 1 species